AGAUAAGCUACUCAGGUGUUAUUCACAAAUAGGACUGUGCAGCGACAUCAAUAUCUUACAAGGAAAAUGUGAUAUCGAUAAACAAUUACAUUUCUUUGCUUUAUUGGUGUUAUUUAUAAAAAAUAUAUACAUGCAAACUACUGAAGAGAAAAAGCAAAUCGCAAAUAUCUCAUUGAAAG